CUAUAGGAUUUUUUUAGAUGGCUAAUCAUGAAAUCCACAUACUUUAUAAAACAAAUUUUA
rfam:Tupaia chinensis contig165304, whole genome shotgun sequence.